GGAGAGUUGCCGGAGUGGUUGAACGGGACGGUCUCGAAAACCGUUGUGCCUAUUAAAGGUACCCAGGGUUCGAAUCCCUGACUCUCCGCCA
rnacentral:tRNA from 1 species